rnacentral:rRNA from 1 species
UACGGAAGGCAGCAGUGGGGAAUAUUGCACAAUGGGCGCAAGCCUGAUGCAGCCAUGCCGCGUGUAUGAAGAAGGCCUUCGGGUUGUAAAGUACUUUCAGUCGUGAGGAAGGUGUUAAGGUUAAUAACCUUAGCAAUUGACGUUAGCGACAGAAGAAGCACCGGCUAACUCCGUGCCAGCAGCCGCGGUAAUACGGAGGGUGCGAGCGUUAAUCGGAAUUACUGGGCGUAAAGGGCACGCAGGCGGUUAAUUAAGUUGGAUGUGAAAUCCCCGGGCUUAACCUGGGAAUGGCAUUCAAGCUGGUUAGCUAGAGUCUUGUAGAGGGGGUAGAAUUCCAUGUGUAGCGGUGAAAUGCGUAGAGAUGUGGAGGAAUACCGGUGGCGAAGGCGGCCCCUGGGACAAAGGACUGACGCUCAUGUGCGAAAGCGUGGGGAGCAAACAGGAUUAGAUACC